AUUGAACGCUGGCGGCAGGCCUAACACAUGCAAGUCGAACGAGUGGCGGACGGGUGAGUAAUGUCUGGGAAAAUGCCUGAUGGAGGGGGAUAACUACUGGAAACGGUAGCUAAUACCGCAUAGCCUCGGAUGUGCCCAGAUGGGAUUAGCUAGUAGGUGGGGUAAAGGCUCACCUAGGAGACGAGCCCUAGCUGGUCUGAGAGGAUGACCAGCCACAUUGGAACUUGGACACGGUCCAGACCCCUACGGGAGGCAGCAGUGGGGAAUAUGGAACAAUGGGCGCAAGCCUGAUGCAGCCAUGCCGCGUGUAUGAAGAAGGCCUUCGGGUUGUAAAGUACUUUCAGCGGGGAGGCGUUACCCGCAGAAGAAGCACCGGCUAACUCCGUGCCAGCAGCCGCGGUAAUUC
rnacentral:rRNA from 1 species